rnacentral:piRNA from 1 species
UUCCAUGAUUCAUUUGUAGGCAACUUAAUA